rnacentral:rRNA from 1 species
CACGUAGGGUGCGAGCGUUGUCCGGAAUUAUUGGGCGUAAAGAGCUCGUAGGCGGUCUGUUACGUUGGGAGUGAAAACUCGGGGCUCAACCCCGAGCCUGCUUCCGAUACGGGCAGACUAGAGGUAUGCAGGGGAGAAUGGAAUUCCUGGUGUAGCGGUGAAAUGCGCAGAUAUCAGGAGGAACACCGGUGGCGAAGGCGGCAUCCUGGACCGGCAUUGACGCUGAGGCACGAAAGCGUGGGGAUCAAACAGG